ensembl:lncRNA
CUGAAUAGAUGCAUGUGGGAACUGCUUUCUGUAGCUGUUUGGCCCUUUGAGGGGUACCCUGUGGCACUGCCUUAUUUAUUAUGGCCCCCCAGGUUGGUUAUCUGAACAGCUGUGUUAGCAGUUUACUGCCAGUGAAUGCUUAUUUCUCUCUCCUGCUCUCUCCAGUUCCUCCCUGUAACAUCGGUUAACUUUAUCUUUAAGACUCCUCCUAAUUUGGGACUAAAUUAACCAAUGACAAAGAAAUAUGGAAAAUGAAAGCGCAUCAGGAACUGCAUGUCCUUUCUAGAAUCCUGUUUGACAGCCUGAUUAUCCUCAAGAAAAAAGAACCAUCCUGGUACAGUCCCGGAGGAGAAGGAUUAACAACUCUGGAAGCAAUGAAAGAAGAUUCACACUGAUGUGAAGAAGACAGAUGCGUGUGUAGUUCAAGUUCAUCUUGGCAGAGUCAUGCUGAAAAUGCCAAUCCGACAAUUUUAAUGCUGGCAGGAAAAGGAAAGCACGAGGGGGCUGGAUCAUUUUAGCUCUCACACAGUUUCAACUCAUCUUGUGUUCUUGACGCAGUUUGUUGCCUCUGGAUAUACUGCAGGACAGAGCGAGCUGGGUAAGCCGGGAAGAUGGGGUGACGAGGUAAAGAAUUUAGAGGACAUGUACACAGAGAGAGAGAGGAUGUCCAUGGGAGCCACGGAGCAGCCACUACAGAGUGAAUAAAAUCAAACAGCAGGAAAGUAGACAAGGUAUGUUCUGUUCCUGGCACUGAAGUUGAUCUCUGGAAUGAUCUUGGACAAGGUACUUGAUUUACUUGGCUGUCACUUCUCUUGCACAGUAUUGGAAACUUCAUUUGUUGUUGCUGCUGAAUGGUUUUUAGGUGGAGCCCCAAUGGCACACUGCUCGUGGGGAGCACACACACAGCUGGGUGCCUGCUGCUGGGUUCUCUCCUGCAGGAUGUCUCCUGAGAUUCUGCUAUAAGAAGUUGAGUCUUUUAUCUGUGUAUUUUAAGCGUUACCCUUUCUGCUGAAAAAACUGUAACAGCGAUAAUAAAUCUGCAAGAUGCUCAGAAUUCUGUGGAUAUACAAGUAUUUAUAUAUGCUAGCAUCAUGUUUUAAAUUUACUUGAAUGUUCAAAGUACAAUCUGAGAUUGUCAUGCACACUUGGUUACUGUAGUAAGCUGUGUGCUUAGAUACACUGCUGUUAAAUGGAGGAGUCUAGCUCUUGUUGCA